GCGCCUGCUGCCUUUUGCUUUUGUUACUUCAAAAUCAAUGUCGACACGAGCGCGACAGCCGCGAAUCGACUGGGUAUUACCGGUACUUAGUUAAGAUUUUCAUCAAAUUUUCAUAUUCAAUCACGAUCGUUAGGGAGGGAUCAGAAAAGCAGAAAUCAUCAAGAGAAUAUCGAUCAAAAAUUGGAUAAAGACUUCAAAAUGGAUCGGGCAUUAUCAAGGAAGGAGCGAUUCAGGUUGAAAGCUGGAAAGAUACUGAGUAUAACUUCUAAUUAUUUUAGCUCAUCAUGUUUUCAUUUGAUGAUAGGAUGGAUGAAGUAUCAGAAAAUAUGGCAGGAAGAGAAUGGCAAGAGAGAAAGACACAAGAAUGGGACUAAAGUACAUGUUAUGGUAAGUA